rnacentral:lncRNA from 1 species
CAGGAAGCGCCCUUUUUCCCCUCUGCUCUUCUUCCAGCGGCGCAAUGUGAUCCACCGGCAAGGAGGGACGCCAAUAGGGCGUCUGAUAAGUUCCAGGCUGCCUGGCUGACUUAGCCUUGUCAUUGUGCCUUCCCACCAUGAUGGAUUGUGUCUUUUCUGGAACUCUGAGCCAAGGUAAACCCUCUCUCUGCCAAGUUGUUUUUUGUCCAGGUAUUUUAUCAUAGCAACAGGAAAAAACUAAUACAGUCCUGAAGGACACUGCCCCCCAAGUGGCCUCCUUUCUGCAGCUAAGCUCCACUUCCUACUUCCUCACCACCCACCAGUGUGACUCAUCCAUGCUUGCAAUGACUCAGCAGGCUACAGCUGAUCAGAUGCUCAAGCCACGCCCAGUGUCACUCUCUCUUCCUGCUGCCUGCCGAUUCGGAUGUAGAAAUCUCCAUCCUUCUCUAGCACCACGUCUGCCUGCAAGCACCAUACUUCCUGCCAUGGUGAUGAUGAUGGACUAAACCUCUGAACAUGUAAUCACAAAAGACUGAGAUUGGAGCCCAGCUACAUGGAAAAGACACGGUUACUGUAGGAGAAACUGCGGCCAGCCUACCCGCGCUUCAGGUGCCCAGGCCAGGUGCCCAGGCCAGCUCUCAUGAACAUUUGAGGCAGGCACUUCCUCCCUGAGACAAGCCUGCCUCUUAAGCCCAGAGACUGCUGACGAAGAGACCCCUGACCAGAGACACCAAUGAGGAAUGGACAACACAGCGGAGUCAGCCGCCUGAGCCAAUAGGAUCUUGGGAAGGGGUAAAAGGCAGGACUAACUUCCUUGAUAAAUGAGUCUGCAGCACUCUCUGCUACUCACUGACUCCCAGUGCCUGAGUCUUUGGUGCUGCAUCUUCUCACCCCGCCUCCCGAAACAAGUUACCACCUGCAUUAGGAUAAAAAUCAAGAAAACUUCCUGUCCUGGUGUGCUUGCUCUCCUGCUUCCUGGAGGAGUUCACCCUCUUGACCGAGAAUAAAGUUUGCUUUGUUGAGAUGUUUCAA